AGCGUAGACGGUAUGGCAAGUCUGAUGUGAAAGGCAUGGGCUCAACCUGUGGACUGCAUUGGAAACUGUCAUACUUGAGUGCCGGAGGGGUAAGCGGAAUUCCUAGUGUAGCGGUGAAAUGCGUAGAUAUUAGGAGGAACACCAGUGGCGAAGGCGGCUUACUGGACGGUAACUGACGUUGAGGCUCGAAAGCGUGGGAGCAAACA
rnacentral:rRNA from 1 species